CAUUUUUUGGACAUCCAUUUUUCAGAAAUAUUUUGAGAGUUGACAUGAAAAUGCCCUGAGGUGUCUCCAAUAGUGAUGGAUCCUGGCACUUGCAAUGUCUAACCAGACCAGAGGGAAGAGUGAGGAAAAGAGGAUGAGCUACAGAUAUGCAAACUAGUCACUGAUGCUUUGAGAAGAAACACAUGCCUUGAUAAUGAAGCUGAGACUCCAUAAAGUGAAAUGAAUUAUCCAAAUAUCUUGGGGAAGAACUAGGUUGAUGCAACUUCUAGGAAAAUACGGUUGAAGAAAAUGCUGUCAACAGAGGAUUUUGUGUAAGACCACAGUCACAAAAAUAAGCAAGAGUUGGUUGAAUGUAAGAAUGGAGGAACCUGAGGAUACAGCAUGUUGUACAUCACUUGUCCACAUCACCCAGUCCAUCCUAACCCAGACUAGAACCAGGUAUGGGCUUUUGCACAAUCCGAGUUCUGCAGUAAGUUCGUCUGGUCUGCACAAGGAAGCUGUCAUUCCUUGAAAGCAUGUUGUCAACUCCUGCACAGAAACAAGGAAGACUCUAUCCCAAUAUUUGAUAAAUAUUGUUCACUGACAUGUUUUUUCUCUGAUUUAAAAUUUUGAGCUCUAAACAAUAAAACUGUAAAAUCAA